rnacentral:lncRNA from 10 species
GCAUGAUAUUUAAAUGAGAAGUGAAGGGAGUAAAUUAAAGGACACUGCCAAUUCUAGCCAGGGAAAUUACAGUGCAUCCAGUAGGGAAAAGGCUGGAAUGCAUUUUCAUAGAAAAUAAUAAUUUAGCUAUAUAGAGAGUUCUUUUCCCUAGAUUCUUUUUUUAAUGUCCUACUUUUCUUUAGCAUAUCAUUGCAUAAUAUCUUAAAAUUCUACUAUUUGACUAUCUAUACAGAGUAAACCAUCAUGCAAAUUGCUUGUUCUUAGUAUUAGAUUCAAAUGUAAAGACGUUAUAUUCAAAAACCAAACCAUAUCAUGCUUACAGUCAUUAGGUACUCAUUAUAUAAAAGGAUUUGUACUAGGUGAUGAGUGGAUACAAAAGAGAAAUGAAUAGCUGAAUAGCUUCUCGUCUGAAGGAGUUCACAUCCCACUGAAAUAACAUAUAUGUAUACGCAAAUAACUGUGUUCAAGUGAAGCCUGUCAUUAUGUUUAUGCUAUACUUCUAAGUCAACAAAAACAAGCUUAACUGCUCAUGAACUUAUUUAGUAUAUCAUUCAUUGUUAAUGGUUAUGUCAAAGAAGUAAACAAUAAUUUGAUCCAUACAUAAAUUGUGCCUUUAGAAGUAACCUUACAUUUACAAUUAGUUUGCAUAUUUAAACACUGUGUAUUGCCAACCCAGUGAUUUUUAACUCCAAGUUAAGUCUUUUAAGCUGACUGUUGAACAAUUAGGAUGACAGCAAUUAUUUACACACCACCCCCUCACUCAUUUCCUUCUUGAACAUAAGUUAGCAUCCUUGCCCUCUCCCAAAUUUUAUCCUUGCCUUGUGCUAUCUUAACCCCCAAUCUUCCAGGUAAAUAUUAUUUUUUUUUUGUAUAUUUGACGUUACUUACAUUUCUAUUUGAUGAUAUUCUCACAUGAAAAAAUGUGUGGUCCUUGUGGUUCCCCACCCCCGCCUUGGGACAAAACUUUUCUCCAUGUUUCCUUUGUUGUUUUUUUUUUUUUAAUUUACUUUGAUAUUUUUUUAAAAAGAAGUAUAUCUUACUGGAACUUAUCAUUUUCAUCAAAUCAGAAAUUAUAUUUAUCAAUUAGAAUAAGUUUCACUGGUAUCUUCUAGCAUAUUUUAUUACAUUGAGAAAUGAAACAAUCUUUAGAUUAUUUUGAAUUUUCUUCAUACAUGUGGUAUUACUGCAAUAGGACAAUUAUAUUACUUAUUUUUUAGUCCUUUUGAUUUUUUUUUUUAAGCAGGGGAGACAGUUUUUCUCUGUCACCUAGGCUGAAGUGCAAUGGUGCAAUCUUAGCUCACUGUAACCUCUGUAACCUCGAAUUCCUUAACCGAAGAUAUCGAAGGGUAGGAUCAGCCUCCAAGGUAGCUGAGACUACAGGCAUAUACCACCACUAAUUUUUAAAAAUUUUGUGUAGAGAUGGGUGUCCAGCUUUGUUGCCUCCACUGAUCUUGAACUCCUGGCCUUAAUCCUCUUGCCCUGGCCUCCCAAACUGUUGGGAUAACAGGAGUGAGCCACUUAACUUGACCUUUAAAAUUAUCUGUCUUGUUUUCUUUUUUUCCCCCCACUGGUUAGUUUUUCUAGUACAUUAUUGAAUAGAAAUGGUGCUGCACUAUCUUAUUUUUCUCUUCUCAGGAGGAAAUGUCUCAAUUUUUCAUGAUUAUUUAUAUUUGUUAGAGUGAUUCUGUUGAAUGUUUUUUGAUUAAAGAUACUUCACUCUAUCUUUGUUUGCUACAAGUUUUUACCAUGAAUUGGUGUUUAUUAUUAUCAAAUGCUUUUUCUACAGUUUAUUUAAAGAUCAACUAUAUAUUUUCAUUUUAAUAUUAGUAUAGUGAAUUAAAUUAAAUAAUUGUCAAAUAGUAAAACCUUUUACAUUUCUGAAAUAAAACCUAUUUGGUUGUGACUGGGAUUUAUUGACCAACAAUACUGUGUUUGUCAUUUUAAAUAGCUAUUUUGAAGGACCAUCAUUUGGCUUUGUUGCUUUUCUCUUUCAUAUACUUUUUCUAUUUAAUUAAUUUCUAUUUUUAUUACCAUCUAUAUUUUAAUGUUUAGUUUGCAGGUAUUUUUUCUAGCAUUUGAGAUGACAAGUUAGAUCAAUGGUUUUCAGAUUUUUUUUUUUUUUUUUUGAGACUGAGUCUUGCUCUGUCACCCAAGCUGGAGUGCAGUGGCGCGAUCUCGGCUCACUGUAUCCUCCGCCUCUUGCGUUCAAGCAAUUCUCCCGCCUCAGCCUCCUGAGUAGCUGGGAUUACAGGCGCCCGCCACCACUCCAGGCUAAUUUGUGUGUGUGUGUGUUUUUUUGUUUGUUUUUUGUUUUUUCAGUAGAGAUAGGGUUUCACCAUGUUGACUAGGCUGGUCUUGAACUCCUGACCUCAGGUGAUUUGUCCGCUUCAGCCUCCCAAAGUGCUGGGAUUUCAGGCACCUGCCACCUCUCCAGGCUAAUUUGUGUGUGUGUGUGUGUGUGUGUGUGUGUGUGUGUGUGUGUGUGUGUGUGUGUUUUGUAGAGAGAGGGUUUCACCAUGUUAACUAGGCUGGUCUUGAACUCCUGACCUCAGGUGAUUCGUCUGCUUCAGCCUCCCAAAGUGCUGGGAUUACAGGUGUGAGCCACUGCACCCGGCCCAGAUGUUCUUUUAUUGUACUUGCAUUUAAGAUUACAAUUCCCCUCUGAUCACGUAUGAUCUGCAUCCUACAAGUUAUGUUUUUGUUGUCAUUCAGUAUAAAAUAUUUUCUAAUUUACCUUUUAUUUGUAUUUGAAUCAUAUAUGAUGCAUAUGAGUAUUACUUAAUUUCCAGCCUGUUUGGGAUGUCCUAGUUAUUGACCUUUAAUUUAAUUCCACUGAGGUCAGAAGGCACACUCUGAAUCAAUUUAAUCAUGUGAAAUUUGUUUAGGCUUUCUUUAUCCCAUCACUUAUAGUUUUGGUAAAAUUCCUUAUGCUGUUAGAAAGUUUGUGAAUUGUCACUGUUAGCUUCAGUAUACAACAGGUAUUAAUAUGUCAAAGUUGUUUAAGUCAUUUGUAUACUUACUAGUUUUUAAGCAAUUUGUUCUAUCAGCUCUUGAGAGAGUUAUGUUAAAAAUUUUCACCGUGAUUGUAGACAACUAUGUUUAUCUUUUUAGUUAUGUCCAUUUUUGCUCUAUAUGUUUGAAUCUAUUUUAUUAUCUAAAUAAAAAUUUAGGAUUAUAUCUUCCUGCUCAAUUGACUCCUUUAUCAAAUCCCACAUUUUCUUUUGAUAUUUCUGUUUGAAACAAUUUUUCUUAGUUGAAAAUUCUGUCAGUAUUUCUUUUAAUGCAGGUCUUCGAUAUGUGUUUAUUUGACAGCGUAUUUACUGCCUUUAUUCUUGAAAGGCAUUUUCAGUAAACAUGGUACUCUACAGUGACAGAAUUUUUUCACAGCACUUCAUAUAUGUCAUUUCAAUGUGUUUACUCUUGUUUUAAGUCAACUUUGUUAAGGUGUAACUUACAUAUAAUAAAUUUACCCAUUUUGAAUGUACAGUUUAAUGAAUUUUGAGAAACUUACAUAAACCCAUGUAACCACUACUCCAAUCAAGAUGUAUAAUAUAUCCAACACCACAGAAGUUUCCAUUAUGGUCCUUCACAUUUACUCACUCCCAAGUCCUUGGCUUCAGAUACCACAGAAAACAUUUCUGUAAUCGUAAAUUGGUUUUUGUUUUUUCUAAAAUUUUGUAUAAUUAAAAUCACACAUUACACAAUCCAUUGUAUUUGGCUUCUCUUGGUUAACAUAUAAUUUCUGAGGUUCUUCUGUAAUACAUGGUAGGAUGUAUCAGCAAUUUUUAAAUUUAUUACUCUUAUUAUAUUAUAUCACAAAUUGAUCAUCCAUUUAUUUGUGUGGACACUUGGAUUACCCAGUUUUCUUUUUAUUAUUUAUAAAGCUAGUAUGAGAUUCAUGUACAGGUCUUUGUGUAGAUAUAUAUUUUCAUUUCUAUAGAGAAAAUUCUUAGGAAUAUAAUUUCUUCAUGUAAUCAUAAGUAAAUAUUUAAUAUUAUAAGAAGUGGCAAACUUUCCAAAGGGUAUUUUGUUUGUUUGUUUUAUAAUUCUUACUAGCUAAGUAUGAGUGUUCUGGUUACUCCUAACCCCAUCAAUAUUUGAUACUAUCAUUCUUUUUUCAUUUAAUUCCAAUGAUUUUUAAUUUACUUUAAAAGUCUUCUACCUGUGCAUUAUAUGAAGAAUAUUGUUUACAUUAUAAAUACUUGAAGAUUAUCUGGAUAUUUUUCUGUUAAUAAUUUCUUAUUUAAUUUUGUUUUGGUAGAGAACAUACUCUGAUGUGAAUAACCUUAAAUUUACUGAGACACAUUUUAAUUUUCAGUACAAGGCCCAUCUCUGUUAAUCUUCCAUGGAUUGUUGUUGGGUAGAAUGUGAUUAUCUAUUUAUCUAUCUAUCUAUCUAUCUAUCUAUCAUUUAUCUAUGCAACUAUCAAUUAAUCAGAGAAAUCUCCAACAUACUUAACUGAUUUUCUAUUUCUUCUAUCAAUUUUUGAUGGAAGUUAUUGAAUUCAAAUUAUGAUUUUUUUUUUCUAUUUAUUCUUUCAGUUCUAUAAAUUUUUCUUCAGGCAUGUUGAAGCUCAGUUAAGUGCAUGUACCUUUAGGAUUUUUAUGACCCUCAGAUAAGUUGACUCCUUUGUCAUUAUGAAAUGACUGAGGUUACCUCUAAUAUUCUGGGAUAUUAGGCAAUUAUUGCUACUAUAUAUUUCUAUGGUUAAGGGGUUCAUACUUUAUAAUUUUCCAGUCUUUCAAUUUUACCCUUUACUUUUAUGCAUAUAAAGUUGUUUAUUUAUUUAUUUAUUUAUUUAUUUUGAGACGGAGUCUCUCUCUGUCGCCCAG